GGACGAACGCUGGCGGCGUGCUUAACACAUGCAAGUCGAACGCUGAAGCCCAGCUUGCUGGGUGGAUGAGUGGCGAACGGGUGAGUAACACGUGAGUAACCUGCCCCCCUCUUUGGGAUAACGCCCGGAAACGGGUGCUAAUACUGGAUAUUCACUGAUCUUCGCAUGGGGGUUGGUGGAAAGGUUUUUUCUGGUGGGGGAUGGGCUCGCGGCCUAUCAGCUUGUUGGUGGGGUGAUGGCCUACCAAGGCUUUGACGGGUAGCCGGCCUGAGAGGGUGACCGGUCACAUUGGGACUGAGAUACGGCCCAGACUCCUACGGGAGGCAGCAGUGGGGAAUAUUGCACAAUGGGCGAAAGCCUGAUGCAGCGACGCCGCGUGAGGGAUGACGGCCUUCGGGUUGUAAACCUCUUUCGCUCAUGGUCAAGCCGCAGCUUUGGGUUGUGGUGAGGGUAGUGGGUAAAGAAGCGCCGGCUAACUACGU
rnacentral:rRNA from 1 species